UCUCUGGGGUACAGACACGUCUCUCCUUUAGUGAAAUUACAGAAGACCUUGAAGGAGUCUCUGGAGCAGCCUUGGUUUGGGUCAAUCCAGUACUCUCCUGCAGAAAGGUCCGGUGGAUCCAUGAGGCCCAGGCAUGCCCCGGUCUCCUUUCUCUCCCUGCUCUCCUGAAGGUCCGAUCAGACCGAUGAGACCCUGGUGACCCUUCUCACCCUUUGCACCAGGAUCUCCACGCAGGCCAGGUAGACCGGGAGGUCCCUGCAGCACAUCAGAGGAGGAGGUCCAGGUGGGCCCGUCUGUCCAGCAGAUCCUGGAGAUCCUUGCUCUCCCUGAAACAUCAAACAGGAUCAGCUGCUGGAUUCUAACUAAAUACAAACGCUGCUGAUUCUGAUUCCCAGGAAAACCCACCACUGAUCCUGGAAGUCCUCUGAGACCUUCUGUUCCCGGUUUUCCCGGCUGACCCUGAGGACCAACGGGGCCGGUCUUCCCUGGGGGCCCGACGGCACCUGGAUCCCCCUAAAGGUCGUCCUCGUCCUCCAGCAGGUCCAGCAGUUCCAGGUUGUCCAGCUUCUCCCUUCUCUCCGCGUUCUCCACGAAGACCCUGACAACGAGAACACGGCUGUUAGCUAACCGGUCAGCGGGGCAUCAGAAGACUUUGGCUCACUCAGAAGCAACUAGAAGAGCUCCAAGCACUCACGUCGGCUCCGUUGGGUCCAGCAGGUCCGCGGGGUCCUGGAGGUCCAGGAGGACCCUGGAGACAUAAAAAAGUUGUAUUGCUGUAGAAGAAAGAAGCCACAUCUCCAGUUGUUUUAAGCUCACCAAUGGCCCAACGUCUCCGGUCUCUCCCUUCUCACCCGAUGGUCCAGGCAGGCCCUGUAGACCAGAAGAAGUUUAACCAAAAACUGGUUAGCAGCUUAGCUCAGGAACCUAAACACGAGCGACUCCAACAGAAAACUGUUUAUUGGUUUUUCUUCUUUCACCUGAAGUCCGAUAGGUCCCGGAGCUCCCGGGAAUCCUCGAGUUCCUUCGUCACCUUUAGCUCCAAAAGGUCCCUGCUGCCCCCUUGGUCCCAGCUCUCCAUCUGCCCCCUGCCCCACAGAGGAGAUAAGAAAUGGCGACAGAAAUAAGGAAACGGGAACAUGAACAGAGACGAGGGGGCCUAUCAGCUGUCUCGCACCUGGGAUUCCCUUCUCCAAAGACCAGCCAGCGGAGGUGGGCGUGACCGACCCGGCGGAUCUGACAGAUCCGGCUUGGCCACGCCCACCGGAAGAACAGCUGAUAGACGCGUCACACAAACACCUGUGACACUUCUGAAGAAGACCGCAGACGACGGUCGAAACAUGUAAAGGUACUCCAGGUGAUCCAGCAGGGCCGGGCAGACCCACUGGACCCUGGACUCCAUCCCGCCCUGCUGGGCCAAUGGGGCCUUUCUCGCCCUGUAAAGGAGAACGUCUGAAGUUAUUCCGUCUUUAGCUCGCCACGCCGAGUUAAAGGAUAUAUUUUAGGUUUGCGUUACUGAUUAAAAACGUCCUGAUAACUCACUGGAACGCCCUUCUCUCCAGCUUGUCCUGGUGUUCCUUGAGGACCUGGUCUGCCAGGAGGUCCCACAGGUCCAGCGGUUCCAGCAGAACCUCUCUCACCAGGAGAACCCUAGAAAGUACACAUGUUGGUACACUUAACAGUGAGCGAGUACUUCUACCUUUGAUUGGGUCUUCUGACAUCAACAUCAGCCUGACUCUGACAGAAACGACCUUAACCCUCAGGCUUCACUUUAACUUUCAUACAAAAGAGUCAUUAGAGGGCAAAAACGUCCGCUUGUAAGGUUUUUUUUUAGCUUUCUCGCCUGGGCAACAUAUGGAGAAAUGACAGAAUUUGGUGGUGAACAGUAAAAAUCAUAAAUUUGACUACUUUGUCCAAAAUGAAACCAUAACAUCACAGAAAGCAUGAUUACUUGCUGCAGAUGAUGCAGGAUCAAAAACUGUGGUUUGCAUUGAAGUCAAUGGGACGUUUUUGCCUCUAAUGGCUCGAGUGUAUAGUGAAUUUUAAAUCUGUUGCUAUGUAAAAACUAUAAAUGCAAAAAAUUCAAAAUUUUAGAUAUUUCAUAACAUAAUCAAGACUGAUUGGAACUAAACACCCCAGGCAUUAAAAAAUGUCUUUUUUAGAAAAUAACUCAGUUUUAGUUUUUUUUCUUCAUAAAUUACAUCAAUGACUGAGUAUUCAAACUGGCAUUUCAAGGGUUAAAAGCCUCAAAAUGACUGAUUUUUUUUAUGUUUGAGCAGGGCUGAAGUUGUUCAACAGAUGUGUGAAAAAAAAACAUUAAAAAAAAUUUUAUAGCCA